rnacentral:tRNA from 1 species
GGAGGUGUAGCUUAGUGGUAGAGCACAUGCCUAGCAUAUGUGAGGCCCUGGGUUCCAUCCUCAGCACCUCAU